rnacentral:rRNA from 1 species
GAUGAACGCUGGCGGCGUGCUUAACACAUGCAAGUCGAACGGAAAGGCCCAAGCUUGCUUGGGUACUCGAGUGGCGAACGGGUGAGUAACACGUGGGUGAUCUGCCCUGCACUUCGGGAUAAGCCUGGGAAACUGGGUCUAAUACUGGAUAGGACCACUUCUUGGAUGUUGUGGUGGAAAGUUUUUUCGGUGUGGGAUGAGCUCGCGGCCUAUCCGCUUGUUGGUGGGGUAAUGGCCUACCAAGGCGUCGACGGGUAGCCGGCCUGAGAGGGUGUACGGCCACAUUGGGACUGAGAUACGGCCCAGACUCCUACGGGAGGCAGCAGUGGGGAAUAUUGCACAAUGGGCGCAAGCCUGAUGCAGCGACGCCGCGUGGGGGAUGACGGCCUUCGGGUUGUAAACUCCUUUCGCUAGGGACGAAGCGUUUUGUGACGGUACCUGGAGAAGAAGCACCGGCUAACUACGUG